AGCCCGAAUUUUAUUAACAUCUUCAAGCUCAACAAAAGUUUGCUUGGUCAUAACCCUGAGAAAACCAUGGAGGUGGCAUCUGAAACAUGGGAUUGAUAUGUCUAUACCCCUAUAGCCAUCUGGACAGCUGCACUCCAGGUCUGAUGUGAGGUUCACAGGUUCCCUAAAGGGCUGUCCAUGAUUUAUCCAACAGUGCCCAAGGAAGAUACGUUUUCUCAGCUUGAGAGUCUGUUUGUGAAGGCUGGAAUUUAUCUUGCUGCCAGAUACAAAAGAGGCUGAGAAUUCCCAAGUUCUGCAUCAUCGUGGAGGAGCAAGUGAACUGAUUUCUGUGUCAGUUAUUCCAUUUGCUCCCGGGAGCAAUCGUUCUUUCCAGAUUCAAGUCCUGUUGACUCCUUUCCAAACCUCAAGCAAUUCUUGCCAAGCCAUUUUGGAGAGGCGGUUCUUGGAGAACACACAACCAUAUGGAAUGGAACUCAUGCUCCAUGCCAGCCCACACUGCAGAAUUUGCAUAAUGCAAACCAUGGUCCACCCUAUUGUAAGAAGGGCUUUGGAAAAUAUUCAUUUCUAGGGACUCCAUGCUAAGGUCUAGCAAAUUUUCUAUACAAACAGCCUCAAAGAAUGGCUUGGUAAUGAAUUGCAUCAGUAUUCACUAAUAUUAAGUUCAAAAGGAUGAAAGUAUGAAGCAGUAGUACAGUGUCGCACCUAAGCCCACUCCUACUGGACAUUGUUCAUUUCUUGAGGUUCAUUCCUUGUGUGUUGCUUGGUCAUCAUUAUCAUCCUCAGCUGACUACAGUGCCUAUCAAUAAGUAUAUGCUGAAGAAACGUAUUGUUGCCCUAUUCCCAACAGUUCAUUCCAUGUUCCUUCAAACUGAGAAAAAAACCCCAUAGACAAAGAUACAAAGAGAUGGUGUGUUUUGGGGGUAUAAAUCAAAAAAGUUAUUUUCAACAGAUAGCUGCUAGGAGAAGGAAAAUCAUUUUUCUUCAAUGAAGUGAUAUUGGAUAUAUCUACAGCACACCAGGAAUGGCUCCACACUCAAGAGGAAUCAUCCAACUUCCAUGAGUUUGGAUUUUCCUUUGAUAGGGAAAACACAAUGCUGGAUAGGUAAGGAGGUAAUAAAUUACCUGGGAAGAAUGCAGAAGAGGAAUAAACAUAGUCAAAACAUGAAUUUUUUGAAAGAAUAAAGAAACAUUAUUUUCCUAAAUAUUCAAA
rnacentral:lncRNA from 1 species